rnacentral:tRNA from 1 species
UCCCUGGUGGCUCAGAUGGUAAAGAAUCUGACUGCAAAGCGGGAGACCUGGGUUUAAUUCCCAGGCCGGGAA